rnacentral:misc_RNA from 1 species
GAUGAAGAACGUAGCGAAAUGCGAUACGUAAUGUGAAUUGCAGAAUUCAGUGAAUCAUCGAAUCUUUGAACGCACAUUGCGCCCCUUGGUAUUCCGAGGGGCAUGCCUGCUCGAGCGUCAUUAUAACCCCUCAAGCUCAGCUUGGUGUUGGGGCCUGCUGCACUGGCAGCCCUUAAAAUCAGUGGCGGCGCCAUCUGGCUCUAAGCGUAGUAAUUCUUCUCGCUAUGGAGUCCUGGUGGAUGCUUGCCAUCAACCCCCAAUUUUUCUAUGGUUGACCUCGGAUCAGGUAGGGAUACCCGCUGAACUUAAGCAUAUCAAUAAGCGGAGGA